rnacentral:rRNA from 1 species
GACGAACGCNGGCGGCGUGCUUAACACAUGCAAGUCGAACGAAGAGCGAUGGAAGCUUGCUUCUAUCAAUCUUAGUGGCGAACGGGUGAGUAACGCGUAAUCAACCUGCCCUUCAGAGGGGGACAACAGUUGGAAACGACUGCUAAUACCGCAUACGAUCUAACCUCGGCAUCGAGGAUAGAUGAAAGGUGGCCUCUACAUGCAAGCUAUCACUGAAGGAGGGGAUUGCGUCUGAUUAGCUAGUUGGAGGGGUAACGGCCCACCAAGGCGACGAUCAGUAGCCGGUCUGAGAGGAUGAACGGCCACAUUGGGACUGAGACACGGCCCAGACUCCUACGGGAGGCAGCAGUGGGGAAUCUUCCGCAAUGGACGAAAGUCUGACGGAGCAACGCCGCGUGAGUGAUGACGGCCUUCGGGUUGUAAAGNUCUGUUAAUCGGGACGAAAGNCCUUCUUGCGAAUAGUNAGAAGGAUGACGUACC